CUAAUACUCCCUCCGUCCGGAAAUACUUGUCGAAGGAAUGGAUGUAUCUAGAUGUAUUUUAGUUUUAGAUACAUCCAUUUUUAUCCAUUUCUUCGACAAGUAUUUUGGGACGGAGGGAGUACAUA
rnacentral:pre_miRNA from 1 species